rnacentral:lncRNA from 1 species
GAACAAACAAACUAAAGUUGUUUACUGUUUUAAACGUGAUAAAUUUUUGGAAAUGAAGUGUAAUGCUAAUGGUCUUCAUUUGUGAGAAUAAUGGCAAAAUUAUGCAUUUAACACUAUUUCCAUCUGUUGAACUUAGUCUAGGAAAAAUGUUUAUGAUUUUUGGGUUCUAAACUUGAUUAAGAUUUCGGUUUGCCGACAAACAGAAGGAUAAGAUGUCAAUUAUCCUGCCAAUAGGUUAUUAACAUAUGAGUCUAGUAGCUGGUUUCAAAUUUUUUUUGCAUAUGAUCUUCCACUUCAUCCAUUUAUUUGUAGCCGGUGCAUUUUUAGGUCACAGAUUAGUAUGGUUUAGUCCUUGUUUACAAGUCUUAUUCAACUUGUUUUGCUUACACUCUGUCAUUUGUCACUUGGUUCAAUCGAGUGACUGCUUAAGUCUGCUGUGCCUUCUUGAGUAAAUGACAUGAUUCGACAUCCAAAAUGCAUCACUGGUUAAAUUCUUUAUCACUCACAGCUUUCCAGUAUAUAUAUAUGAGUUACCAAUUUCCUUGAAUUUGAAGAGGCUUAUGGAUACAUAGUAACCUUAGCUUAAGCUUGAGC